rnacentral:ncRNA from 1 species
ACUCUAGUUUGGCACUGUGAAGGGACAUGGUGUAGAGGUGUAGAAUAAGUGGGAGGUCUUGGCCGCCGGUGAAAUACCACUACUCUUAUCAUUUUUCCACUUACCUGGUGAGGCGGGAAGAAGAGCCCCAAGAAGGCUUCUCAAUUCUGGUGUCAAAGGCCUAGCUAUAUGUUGACUACAGUUGUGGAUAAUAAACAUAAAUAGCUUUGUUCUGGCUUUUGGUCUGUUACCACAGAUGUAUCCGUAUUCCUCUGUUUUGGCAGAGGCGGAAU